CUCGUGUGUGACGCGGUCUUGUUUGAGCUAUUUUUAGUAAGAGAUUGCGACCUAAUCUAGUUUUCUAACCGCAGGAUUGGCUUUUUUUAGGCCUAUUCUUCUUGCGCAUCGGUCGUUUGGGU
rnacentral:ncRNA from 1 species